AUCGCUUCUCGGCCUUUUGGCUAAGAUCAAGUGUAGUAUCAGAGAGGAUAGAAAAUAGGAUCAAAGUUACCCUGA
rnacentral:snRNA from 1 species